AGGGUGGGGCCUUGGGUAAAGCCCUGGGCUCAGAGUUCAGUGAGUUCUUGGUGCACAGAGCUCCAAGAACCACUCCAGCACGCUGCCUGCCACGGAGCAGGGUUUCAGCAAGUAUUUGCUGGAUGAGUGAGAGGCUAAGUGGAUGAAUAAAGAUCUAAGUCAGAGUCAAGCUAGGAAUAGUCUGCACCUCAAGGCUCUACCAGCACUAGGAAAGGGUCUACCUAGAGACUGCAGAAGAGAUGAGCCUACAUGAAGAUAUUCAAGGAGACCCAGGGAAGGUGUCUAAGAGGCUGUGAAAGCAUGAAGUCACACGGGCCAUGGCUGUCAGCAGAGGAGUUUAUGGCUAAAAACAUCUGGAGGAAAAUGGGCUCUGCCAGAGCGCGCGCAGCCGCAGCCCACCCCUCCUCCUCCGGCACCUGAAAUCCUGUCCCCUUCCGCCCAUUUACGACUGUUUGCUGUGGAAACGGCUUGCGGAGCGGCCCCGAGGGAGCUAGUGGGAGAGCACAGUUCACGAUGGAGCCCACGGCCUGUUUCCCAUUCUGACCCCGAGGAGCGAGCGGGGAACCUGGGCCGGAGCAGCCCCGGGAGGACCGGGAGCGCAGUGAACUGCUGGCUGCUUGGCCGGGAGGGGUGCCCUUUUCCAGAUCUGGAGCUGCACUAUAAUUCCAUGGGACCUAGAAUAAAAAUUACAACUGCAAACCUGGGAAGGACCUUUUUCUGGAAUGUUACCAAAGGAUGAUUGUAAAACAACUUGAGGACCUCAAAUGAAAGGUUCCUAGAAAUCCUCCAGCUCCGAGGAGACAUUGGCUGCUGUCUUCUGGCUCUGGGCCUUAUUCCUGCCUGGAGGGUUAUGGAGGAACCCAGAGCUGCAUGUUCACACUAGUCUGACCUUGGGGCAGCAGGAUGUGUCCAAGGCUAUGAAUUUUGGGAAUCCAUGUGAGCCCAGUCAACUCUAAGUGUGCCUGACUUCCUUCCAGCCUCUAUCCUGCCCCAGCCUGCUAAAUCGCUUCAGUCAUGUCAGACUCUGUGCGACCCCAUAGACAGCAGCCCACCAGGCUCCCCCAUCCCUGGGAUUCUCCAGGCAAGAACACUGGAGUGGGUUGUCAUUUCCUUCUCCAAUACAUGCAAGUGAAAAGUGAAAGUGAAGUCACUCAGUCAUGUCCGACUCUUCACAACCCCAUGGACUGCAGCCCAGCGGGCUCCUCCAUCCAUGGGAUUUUCCAGAAUCGGAAUCUAUGUCUUCUCUGCUUGAAUUUUGGCUGGGCCUGUGGCUGCUUUGAGGAAAUGACCUGUGCCAGAACAGGCACCUUCUGCCUCUUUCCUCUUGGAAUACUUUUCCUGGGGUGCUCCUUGGAAUCCAGCCAUGAUGCAUUGGGAAGCCCAGCUGCAGAGCUAGGCCACACGUAGUCCCUCCAGUUGCAGUCUCUGCUCCACUCUCUGCUGCUGCCAUGUGAGCAAGCCACCUUGGAUGUCUGGGCCUCCUGAGGACUGCAUCCCUGGCCGACAUCAUGUGGAACAGAAGAACCACUAUGCUGAACCCAGGCAACCAACACAGUCAUGAGAUAAUAAGAAUUAUUUGUCGUCACUAAGUGUUGGGUGAUUUGUUAUAAGUGAUGGAAAACUGAAACAGUUUGUUUGUAUGCUCUGCCAGACUGUAAACUUCUGGAGGACAGGCGCCAGUGUCUUGGUCAUAUUUAUGUGCCCAGCAUCUAGUGCAGUGGUCUAGCUCAGUGGUUAAGAACUCAGAAUCUGUUUUCAAAGGGCCUGGAGUUGAUCUCUACUCCACACCAGUUGUGUGGCCGUAUCAGUCAGGGUUCAGUUAGGGCAGAAGAGCUACUAAGAGUAUUAUAAGCCUAAGAGACUUAUUCCAGGAAUUGGACCUUAAGAAAAUAUGGCAAGAGCUGGGAGGAUGGAGGUCUAGAAGGGGAGUCAGAGGUUCAGAGUGUCUACUCUGUCUGUCUGAAGUGGACAAGUCAGAGCUUUCUGGGAAAUGAUGAUACCAACGUGCCCAGCCCCUAGAGUAGAUGGAUGCACAGUAAGGUCCAGUGAAAACUGCCCCCUGCCUAUGCCUACCUACUGCCUCUGCGGGCUUACUGUCAAUCUUCCAGUUGGGAGUGGGGGGCCUCUAUUGUUCUGGAGGAUCAGCAGUCAGAGUGACAAGCUAGAUAUGAAACAGAGGAGAAUGAGGACAAGCUGUGACCUGCUAGAUGCCUUUGCAUCUGUCCAACACCAUAUGCAACCCAGGUAACCUUCAGAGAAUAAUGGCCACUGCUCCACUUUCACCUUCCAAAUCUCCUAUAACCCAUUGCCGGAUGGGGAAGGGAAUCUGGGAAGUGUAGCUCUCAUCUAAACUGGACUGACAGCACCAUGCAGCUUUUGGCCUGUAGCAAAUUACUUUUCUCUGAGCCUUGGUUCCUCAUCAGUAAAGUAGAGAUAGUCAUACUUACCAAACUCAGAUUACUGGAAAUAUUCAGUGAGAAAUACAUGCAUAGUUGUCAUAUUCUAAAUUCUCAAUGCGUGCUAGCUGUGUUCUUUGUAUUAGAAGAAGCCCAUUCAUGUUUGUUGGAUGAAUGAAUUGAAACUCUUUGGCAAGGCAUAAAGGGGGCAGGAAAUAAGUCAUGCCUUAGAAGUUCAGGGCCAAGCUGGAAGACUGUGGACCUCUUGUGGGACACUUGAGGCCAGAAUAAAUCUAGAAAAUGUCUGUUAGACAUCAUCUGCGCCAACUGGCAUUAAGAAUCAAGAAACCAGUACUGUGAGUUCAGUCCCAUUUCAUAUCAAUCCAUCAAUUCAGCUCUUCCAAGCCCAUAUAAAGGCUUCCCUGGAGACCAGGAUAUCCAAGUAUCGAAAUCCUGAGUCCUAGCUCAACUCUGCCACUAUUUACUCUAUAAACUUAGGUAAACCUUCAUCUGCUGUUGGGCUCUGUCUUCCCAUCUGUGCAUGAAACAGCUGGACCAGAUGAUCAGAGGGUCUUUCUGUGCUUUCCUUCCACAG
ensembl:lncRNA